rnacentral:rRNA from 1 species
UACGGGGGGGGCAAGCGUUGUUCGGAAUUAUUGGGCGUAAAGGGCGCGUAGGCGGCUAGAUGUGUCAAAGGUGAAAUCCCUCGGCUCAACUGAGGAACUGCCUUUGAAACUGUCUGGCUUGAGGCCGGGAGAGGGUAGCGGAAUUCCCAGUGUAGCGGUGAAAUGCGUAGAUAUCUGGAGGAACACCGGUGGCGAAGGCGGCAUCCUGGACCGGGAUUGACACUGAGGCGCGAAAGCCAGGGGAGCAAACGGG